UGUACAGCAACUGAAAUUCUGCGCUUCGCCGGUCCCGUCAGGUAAGAAGCAACGAGUGGAGAGCUCUCGCCUGAAGCCCUCCUACUCCGUCUCUCCCAGAUCCAACUCCAGAAAAGAAGAAAAAACGAAAACACCAAGAGAUGAAUUCAGAUUUCUUCUAACCCUAACCCUAACCCAAAAUGCACCCAAAAAGGGGAUCCCUCCUUCCCCUCCUCUUCAUCCUCUCCUUCGCCGUUAUCUUCCUCUGUUCCUACCAUUACCACUCCUCCCUCCAUUUCUCCCACUCCCAAAACCCAAACUCUAACCCUAACCCUCAGCGCUUCACCUUCACCAUCAAGCUCCUCACAUUCGAUCGCAUCGACUCCCUUCGCCGCUGCCUCCGCUCCAUCGCCGCCGCCGACUACGGCGGCGAUCGGGUGAGCCUCCACGUCUUCGUCGACCAUUUCCGGGCCGUUGACCCCGCCAACGAAUCCGCCCUGCUGGACCGGAAGCUGGAGGAAUCGCGCCGGAUCUUGGAUCUCGUCGAUGGCUUCAGUUGGCCACAUGGAGAGAAGCUCGUGCAUCACCGGACGGCCAAUGUCGGGCUUCAGGCUCAGUGGCUGGAGGCCUGGUGGCCGAAGUCGGAUGACGACUUCGCCUUUGUGGUGGAGGAUGAUCUCGAGCUGUCGCCGCUGUACUACAAGUUCUUGAAGGAAUUGAUUUUGAAGUAUUAUUAUGAUCGGUCGAACUAUAGCCCUUCUAUCUAUGGGGCAUCAUUGCAGCGGCCAAGGUUUGUAGCAGGAAAGCAUGGAAACAAACUACGGCUGGACAGUGAAACACACCUUUUCUUAUACCAGAUGGUUGGGACAUGGGGUCAACUUCUUUUCCCUAGACCAUGGAAAGAAUUUCGCUUGUGGUACGAUAUUCACAAAGCCAAAGGCAUUAAACCAAUACUGCAGGGCAUGGUAACAACAGGAUGGUACAAAAAGAUGGGUGAGAGAAUAUGGACUCCAUGGUUCAUCAAAUAUAUUCAUGCCCGAGGAUACUACAAUAUUUACACAAACUUUGUGCAUGAAAGAGCUCUCAGCAUCUCUUACAGGGAUGCAGGUGUAAAUUAUGGGAAAACAGCUGGUCCUGAUUCCAACUUACUGGACAAAAACUCGCUUGAUUUUGAUCUCUGGGCACUGCAGCCCCUGAAAAAUUUAAAAUGGUAUGAUUUCUGCUUCAGAGAAGUGCAUCUUGGGAGAAUUGUUAGGAGGUAUGACGAACUUGAAUCUGUUCUACGCUCUUUCAAGGAACAGAAAACUAUUAUACUGGUAAGUUUUUACCGGACGGUACAAAGGAUUGCAAGAAACUUGAUUUGCCAUCUUGAGAGGGUGGGUUUGCAGAACUUCAUGUUUAUCGGUGAUGAUUCAGAGUUUCUCAUUGACCUUGCCCGGAGAGGAUAUCCUGUGAUCGAUGCAAAUCUGUUGGUCAGCAAGAUGGGAAGCGACAAAUCAAAUGGUUUUGAACAUUCUGACAUGAAUUUGAUGAAGGAGAUCUGGGCUAAAGCCAAUGUUAUUAAAAAGUUUCUGGAACUGGGAUACAAUUUAUGGGUGCUUGAUUGGAAUAUAAUUCCAAUGAGUAAUUCAUUAUUGGAGGUACCAGAUCCAUCUUAUGAUUUUUUUGCUGCAAAAAAUGUUGGAUUAAUGUACAUGAAGAGCUCUUCAUCUUCCCUAAAAGUUUGGGUUGCUGAUUUUAUUUCUAACGUGGCAGCAGUGGGGAAGUCUUUGAUAGGCAGUAAUUCUGUAUCUUUGGAACACAAGAAUUUUGUGUAUUUUGCUACCAAAGCUUUGGAGGACAAGGGUGACGUACGGUUGCGGAGGUUGGAUGAAUCGGUCAUUGGUGUAAGAUUAGGUUAUGAUGCUAUGAAUCGCUCUGCUCUGGACAGUGGGAAAAUGCUUUUCUUGUCUCCAGCGAUGUCAUUGACUUCAGUUCAGAGAGAGCUUGAGAACCUAGAAAUGUGGUUGAUUGAUGGGGAUUCUUCUUGUGCUGCUGUUGUUUGCCACCAAUAAUAAUAAAUGAAUAGCAAUACGGAUUUCUUUCUUUUUUUGUUAGAUGAAAUGCGAUUGGAAUCAGUACUUUUGGAUCCAUUAUAGCUUAUGGAUGCUCCAUUGCUUCGAAGAUAUUCUCUGACAACCAUAUACUGCAAAACUGCAAAAACUGGUAGGGCCUUGGAAUCCUUACAUCUUGGAUAAAAGCUGCAUUCUUUUUUCUUUUAGAAAUGAGGAAGAAAUAUCACCAUCUAGGUUCAAAGUUGGGAUGCCUCUCAGGGUAAGCAGCAAAUAGCAACCGAGAGGGGUGUCAGCCUAUAUGCGCCUGAAAUAUGGUGGCAGGUGCUCGCAUGGAUAACCGUAUGUAAUAGUUUGCUUACAUUUUCAAGAGAGUUCGAAGCCUAGUCCUUUCCACCUGGAUCAACUUCGCUCCAUACCAUAUGCCCAAGGAAUACCCACAGAAGAUGAAGAGCAUGACCGUGCCAAGACCUAAUCCAGCAGCCAGACCUUCUUGAACACCCGAACUGUAAGCACUGUU